UACGUAGGGUGCGAGCGUUGUCCGGAAUUAUUGGGCGUAAAGAGCUCGUAGGCGGUGUGUUACGUCGGCCGUGAAAACCUGCAGCUUAACUGUGGGCGUGCGGUCGAUACGGGCAUCACUGGAGUUCGGCAGGGGAGACUGGAAUUCCUGGUGUAGCGGUGAAAUGCGCAGAUAUCAGGAGGAACACCGGUGGCGAAGGCGGGUCUCUGGGCCGAUACUGACGCUGAGGAGCGAAAGCGUGGGGAGCAAACAGG
rnacentral:rRNA from 1 species